AUUUGUCCCUGUCCAUAGAACAGAAAACUUUUCUUUUGAUAUCCGACAUCCAAAAUGCAGUGUUAUAUGGUCCAUGCUGUGUAAAAACGUUCUGGGAUUUGGUACAAUAUCCUUAGCCAAAGUCCGAGCCUUGAGAUAUGAAGUGCCGUACCGAAGACGUUUAUUCAAAGAUAUAAUUAAUUCAGCAUCUCUGGCAGUCUGGAAUUGAACAAUAGCAUAUUUUCUUUGACCCCCAUUUUUGGUUUCCCUGAUCUUCAUUGCAAAAACAGUUCCAUCCCCUGAAUGUGAUUCCAGACACUUCUUGACUUCAUCUACAGUCACAUCGGGAGGGAAUCCAUACACGUGAAUUGUCUUACCCAUCAAAGCAAUUCUUAAAAGUAAAAUAAAGAAACCAAAUUAUCACUUGCUCACUCAAAUUAAACCACUUCAGUUCUCAUCCAAGAAACCAGAAACCAGAAACCAACGAUAGAAACAGUUUCACAUUCAAGUCGCUCUUUCUCUGUCUUUGAGCAAGCAAAUUUUCAUCUGCUUUUUCUCCAAUCAGUCAAUGUAAGUCUCUCUGUGACACUGUGUUGCCCUCGUAC